rnacentral:rRNA from 1 species
UACGAAGGGGGCUAGCGUUGUUCGGAAUUACUGGGCGUAAAGCGCGCGCAGGCGGUCUUCCAAGUCAGUGGUGAAAGCCCGGAGCUCAACUCCGGAACUGCCAUUGAAACUGUGAGACUUGAGGACGAGAGAGGUGAGUGGAAUUCCCAGUGUAGAGGUGAAAUUCGUAGAUAUUCGGAAGAACACCAGUGGCGAAGGCGACACACUGGCCCAUUACUGACGCUGAGGCUCGAAAGCGUGGGGAGCAAACAGG